AUUGAACGCUGGCGGCAGGCCUAACACAUGCAAGUCGAACGGUAACAGGAAACAGCUUGCUGUUUCGCUGACGAGUGGCGGACGGGUGAGUAAUGUCUGGGAAACUGCCUGAUGGAGGGGGAUAACUACUGGAAACGGUAGCUAAUACCGCAUAACGUCGCAAGACCAAAGAGGGGGACCUUCGGGCCUCUCGCCAUCGGAUGUGCCCAGAUGGGAUUAGCUAGUAGGUGGGGUAACGGCCCACCUAGGCGACGAUCCCUAGCUGGUCUGAGAGGAUGACCAGCCACACUGGAACUGAGACACGGUCCAGACUCCUACGGGAGGCAGCAGUGGGGAAUAUUGCACAAUGGGCGCAAGCCUGAUGCAGCCAUGCCGCGUGUAUGAAGAAGGCCUUCGGGUUGUAAAGUACUUUCAGCGGGGAGGAAGGGAGUAAAGUUAAUACCUUUGCUCAUUGACGUUACCCGCAGAAGAAGCACCGGCUAACUCCGUGCCAGCAGCCGCCGUAA
rnacentral:rRNA from 1 species